GACGAACGCUGGCGGCGUGCUUAACACAUGCAAGUCGAACGAAGUGGCGAACGGGUGAGUAAUACGUGGGUAACUGCCCCCCUCUCUGGGAUAACAGUUGGAAACGGCUGCUAAUACCGGAUAGUGGGGGUUGACUCGCUUCCUAUCAGCUUGUUGGUGGGGUAGUGGCCUACCAAGGCGACGACGGGUGGCCGGCCUGAGGGGGCGAGUGGCCACAUUGUGCUGGGAUACGGCGCAAAGUCCGACGGGAGGCAGCAGUGGGAAAUAGUGCACAAUGUGGGAACUCCGGAGGCAGAAACGCCGCGUGCGGGAUGACGGGCUUCGGGUUGUAAACCGCUUGCAGCCAUGACGCGGUAGUGGCAGAAGAAGCACCGGCUAACUACGUGCCAGCAGCCGCGGUAAUAC
rnacentral:rRNA from 1 species